rnacentral:rRNA from 1 species
AACGAACGCUGGCGGCAGGCUUAACACAUGCAAGUCGAGCGCCCCGCAAGGGGAGCGGCAGUCGGGUGAGUAACGCGUGGGAACGUACCCUUAUCUUCGGGAUAGCUCCGGGAAACUGGAAUUAAUACCGAAUGUGCCCUUUGGGGGUAAGAUUUAUCGGAUAAGGAUCGGCCCGCGUUGGAUUAGCUGGUUGGUGGGGUAAAGGCGUACCAAGGCGACGAUCCAUAGCUGGUCUGAGAGGAAGAUCAGCCACAUUGGGACUGAGAAACGGCCCAAAAUCCUACGGGAGGGAGCAGUGGGGAAUAUUGGACUAUGGGGUCAAGCAUGAACCAGCCAUGCCGGGUAAGUGAUGAAGGCCUUAGAGAUGUAAAGCUCUUUCACCGGAGAAGAUAAUGACGGUAUCCGGAGAAGAAGCCCCGGCUAACUUCGUG